rnacentral:tRNA from 48 species
AGCUCAGCUGGAUAGAGUACUCGGCUACGAACCGAGCGGUCGGAGGUUCGAAUCCUCCC